UUAACCGAUGUGCUACAGCGGA
rnacentral:snRNA from 1 species